rnacentral:rRNA from 1 species
GACGAAGGAUGCAAGCGUUAUCCGGAUUCAUUGGGUUUAAAGGGAGCGUAGGUGGCCUUGUAAGUCAGUGGUGAAUUCCUGUCGCUUAACGAUAGAAUUGCCAUUGAUACUGCAGGGCUUGAGUACAGUUGCCGUUGGCGGAAUAUGACAUGUAGUGGUGAAAUACUUAGAUAUGUCAUAGAACACCGAUUGCGAAGGCAGCUGACGAAACUGUAACUGACACUGAGGCUCGAAAGUGUGGGGAUCAAACAGG